ACCAGGAUUUUCUGAUAUCCCUAAUCACAAGGCAGUUCUUGAAACAAGCCUUCGUCAGCAUGCCACGCUUUCAGAAGGCAAUAUACUGACUGUUAAUCAUGGUGUUCUGACGUACCAUUUACGUGUUCUUGAACUGAAACCUUCCUCGAGUGUAUCUGUUUUUGAAACGGAUAUAGAAGUUGAUAUAAUGGGCGCAGAACGGACAGCUGAGAGGACAAAUCAGCCUUCUUCUAGUGUAUCUGUUUUGGAAACGGAUAUAGAAGUUGAUGUAAUGGGCGCAGAACGGACAGCUGAGGGCACAAAUCAGUGUGUAUUGCAACCUCUCAUAUAUGGGGAGGUAGAUGCUGGGGUGG
rnacentral:lncRNA from 1 species